UAGUUCAAUAAUUAGCGAGUAUAGUUGACUAAAAUUGAUUCUGCACCUGGUUAACACUUUACACUGAGCCUAGUUCUCGACCGCCCCAAGAUGGCGCCUAUAGGCGAGAGCAGUCAAUGCGGGGGUCUACUCUUUUCUACCUACAUGCUAAGCUAGCAUUAGCACCUCUAUGCUACAUGCUGAACUAACAUUAGCACCUCUCAGAGCCAUAGAGCUAAAAAGAGUCGCGACACUCCCAUUGGACUCCGUUGUACGCCGUUUGCCGCCCACUUCCGGGGUAUGCAGCCUCGCAUAGUUCCAAAAAGCCAUUCUAUGGCGUCGGACAUCAUUCACUUCCAUUGCUGACUCUCGAGUAACUUCUGAGCUCCAGCCAGCAUAAACACCAGUGCAUGCGUCGCUUGUCCUUGGUGGUCAGGCAGCGUGAUGUUGCCAAAUAGCCUCCCCGUUCCCAGAUGGAGCUCCACGCCUGGAGUAAUGGACAUUUCAUCUAAGCGUGCGGAUGUUAGGCAGUGGAAUUUGCAUUUUCUGGAGGGUUUUAUAACCGGUGGUGCCAGUGGUAAAUCUUAUUUUUAUAGCUUUUUUGUCUCCUUUCCCCACCGUAUUCCUCUCUUCUUUUCCUGUCCAAGGGCUGUCAUUUGGUCUCUGUUAAACAUUUGGGUGAACUUCUGAUUAACUAAAUUGUUCCUCUUUCUUAGCGCCAAAUUCAUUCUUUUUUGCUGUGCUAGAGCCCUCUCUGCUCUCCUUCUCAUUAACUUCUCCAUUUUAAGUUGCCUUAUUAGGUCCUCCACAAUUGCACUAUUAGACCCUGGCAGUCUGGUCCCUGGAGCACCUGGCCCUGGCAAAGUUGGUUCAUCGUUGCUGGCUCCUGACUGACUGGCCCUCGGCACACACAUCCCUGGAUCACCUGCCCCUGUGUCCAGGACUCAGAUGAAGAGGAUGUUAGUAUGCGUUGUUGAGAGGAACUGCCCUACAGUGACUGGCCGUAGUGCUUACUGGAACUCCACAGGUGUGAGUCUGAUGUAUGCAAGAGAAAGUAUUUUUCUAGGCAGUCCUGAAUGAACUGGCUUUAAUGAACAUAUUUGUGCCUCUGUCUCAACAGAUCUUGCUGAACCAGCAGUAUCGUUGUUGUGGCCAUCACAGGUUUCAGUGGAGCACCCCAAAAAAAAAUGGUUACGAUACCUGUUCUUAACGCCUGUUUACACAUUUGUUGUUCUUGUUCACACAUGCUGUAUGUAUGUUUGUUGAUAUUAUUCAUGCUUGUUCCCGUUUUUUUUUGUUCCACAUUGUUCAUUUUUAUCUUAUGCCAGAUACCUUUAUUAUUAAUGUUGUCCUUCCCUUCAGCCCUGAUGCACUCUGAAGCCUGAUGUAUGUGGAGGAUUUUUUUUUUAAAUGUAUUUAUAAUAUUCCUCCCUGUUCCUUCACUUUGUUCUUGUUUUUCCAGUUAGAUACAUACAUUUACACACACACACAU